UAAAACACCGGUUCUCGUGUGAUCACCGAAGUUAAGCAAUGUUGAAUCUAGUCAGUGCUUAGGUGGGUGAUCGCCUUGGAACCCAGGUGGUGUAA